rnacentral:ribozyme from 1 species
GAAACAGAACAAAGCAAAACAAAACAGAAAAGAGAGAGAGAAAAAUACGCUCGUCAGAAGCAAUAGACAACCAGGCAGCGAUGAUAACCUUUUUCGUUCCUGUUUCUUCCUUUCCUUUUCUUCUGCUUCG